GUGCUCACUUUGGCAGCACAUAUACUAAAAUUGGAACGAUACAGAGAUUAGCAUGGCCCCUGCACAAGGAUGACACGCAAAUUCGUAAAGCGUUCCAUAUUUUU
rnacentral:snRNA from 1 species